AAUAUUGGGACAUAUAAAAAAAAAAAACUCUGUUCCGCAGAGUAGCUGUUGACAUUACAGUUGCGCAGGCACUUCGUUGACUCUAGAGAACCUCGGGCCAAUCGCACAUCCCCAUGACGGCGACUUUGCAUUCGGAUGUUAUCCAUAUCAACUUUCGAUGCCAGUUUCUGCGCCUACCAUGGUGACCACAGGUAACGGGAAAUCAGGGUUCCAUUCCAUACAGGGACCCUAAGAAACGGCUACCACAUGCAAGGAAGGCAGUAGGCGCGCAAAUGACCCAAUCACGACGCAGGAAGGUAGUGA